UUUUAUGGAGAGUUUGAUCCUGGCUCAGAGUGAACGCUGGCGGCGUGCCUAAUACAUGCAAGUCGAACGAUGAAGCUUCUAGCUUGCUAGAAGUGGAUUAGUGGCGCACGGGUGAGUAAGGUAUAGUUAAUCUGCCCUACACAAGAGGACAACAGUUGGAAACGACUGCUAAUACUCUAUACUCCUGCUUAACACAAGUUGAGUAGGGAAAGUUUUUCGGUGUAGGAUGAGACUAUAUAGUAUCAGCUAGU
rnacentral:rRNA from 1 species